UACGUAGGGGGCUAGCGUUGUCCGGAUUUAUUGGGCGUAAAGAGCGUGUAGGCGGCCAGAUAGGUCCGUUGUGAAAACUGGGAGGCUUAACCUCCAGGCUGUCGAUGGAAACCAUCUGGCUAGAGUCCGGAAGAGGAGAGUGGAAUUCCUGGUGUAGCGGUGAAAUGCGCAGAUAUCAGGAAGAACACCCGUGGCGAAGGCGGCUCUCUGGGACGGUACUGACGCUGAGACGCGAAAGCGUGGGGAGCGAACAGG
rnacentral:rRNA from 1 species